ACGCGAAAUCUCCCUUCGGGGAGAAGUAGAGUGGCGCACGGGUGAGUAACACGUAGGUAAUCUACCUUCGGAUGGGGAAUAACACCGAGAAAUCGGUGCUAAUACCGCAUAAUGCAGCGGCACCUAAUGGUGACAGUUGUUAAAGCGGGGGAUCGUAAGACCUCGCGUCUGAAGAGGAGCCUGCGGCGGAUUAGCUAGUUGGUAAGGUAAUGGCUUACCAAGGCGACGAUCCGUAACCGGCCUGAGAGGGCGGUCGGUCACACUGACACUGACAUACGGGUCAGACUCCUACGGGAGGCAGCAGUUGGGAAUUUUGGGCAAUGGGCGAAAGCCUGACCCAGCAACGCCGCGUGAAGGAUGAAAUCCCUCGGGAUGUAAACUUCGCAAGAACGGGAAGAAUAAGUCUGUGUUAAUAGCACAGGUGAUGACGGUACCGUUUGUAAGCUCCGGCUAACUCCGUGCCAGCAGCCGCGGUAA
rnacentral:rRNA from 1 species